UACGUCGGGGGCUAGCGUUGUCCGGAAUCAUUGGGCGUAAAGCGCGUGUAGGCGGUCCGGUAAGUCCGCUGUGAAAGUCGGGGGCUCAACCCUCGAAUGCCGGUGGAUACUGUCGGGCUAGAGUGCGGAAGAGGCGAGUGGAAUUCCUGGUGUAGCGGUGAAAUGCGCAGAUAUCAGGAGGAACACCAAUGGCGAAGGCAGCUCGCUGGGACGGUACUGACGCUGAGGAGCGAAAGCGUGGGGAGCGAACAGG
rnacentral:rRNA from 1 species